AGUUCGGUGGACUUUGGCAGUGGUUGACCGUGUGCAAACCAGCAGGACGAUAACGAUAGUGCAAUUUCCGUGUCAAGAGGUCAACUUGUAGUUGGUUGUGUUUUUUUUUCGGGGCCCCUUUAGAGGUAGUUUAAACGAACGUGUUCUACCGUUAUGAAGGCACAAUUGGAACUCUGUCCUUUCUCUCGUUCUCAUACAGACAACCGAAGGAUAUAACGUGGAAUGUUUCAUAGCGUCAUAAAACUGGCGGCCAUAUUCGGUCGGCUUAGAAGUGGAUGCAAUGUGCUUUGGUCAUGUGAUAAUGAUGGGGUAACAGUUUUACACUUCCCAGCAAAUAAUCGGCGCUCAAUUUAGGCGAUACUUUGGCCGAAGCAUGCUGGCCGAUUUCUGAUCGAACAUUGCAACUACACCACUGCAUUCCAAUCGACGUGAACUUCUCCCAACAUCUACCAGAACAAGUCUUGAGUACUUGCAGAGUCCACAACAAAUUAGCAGGCAAUUACGCGGUACAUGGUACAAUGUAGGAAAAUGGCUCCAAGGAAAUUGAAGUCACAUUUCUGAACCACUUCUUCGAUCGUUCAACGGUGGUGGAGGUGAUUUCGUUUCCUAGAAGGCACCAGACAGAUCGGACAUUUAAUUCUUGUUUAUAUCUUCAGAAGUACAUCGGCUAUCCUCUUCCCCAGUUCGGGGACUAUUCCAGAGGUGCAAAUAGUCUCGAGAGUUCCGAGACUUUCAGCUACACUUGGUUUAACAAAGUGCUUCAUUUAUCAUACUUGCAGCCAUAAACCAUACCGGCAGAGCAGGAACAGGAGGAUUGCCCCCAGCACCGCACACCAAAAACCACAUCGGUCGCUGAUAAAUCGGUGCACAUCACCGCGUCCUCAUCAUCUUCAUCAGCUGUGCCGGAAUGGUGGCGCUCCAAAGCGCUAUCUUCCGUUGACGGACAGCAGUACUUCGGGCGGUACCAACGCUAAAACUCCGGAUGUACCUGUCUUGGAAAUAAUCACCUUUUCCCGGUGCAGGCGAAUGAUCCACGCAACGAAGGCUUGCAUUGUAGGGAAAGUAUGUUCCCGCUGGUCGAUUGGAUGAUUGGUUACAAUCGGCAGCAAGCGCGAGGAAUUCAACCAUACUUCACCGCCCUAUGAUUUACAGUCUGAGUAAGUACUUCGAGUCGAUUAUUCUCCUGGACUGAAAGGUUACGAGCGUUGGGCAACACCUUUCAGCAUGUUUUUUUUCGAAACAAACAAAUGUGCUAAAUUCGUAGGAAAAAUGUAUUCUUUUUAUAAACAAAAAAAAACAUUUUCGAAACAAUAAACCUACGUUAAGGGGGAAUCCCUGCAACAAG